UACGUAGGGGGCAAGCGUUGUCCGGAAUCAUUGGGCGUAAAGGGCGCGUAGGUGGCCUGAUAAGGGUGUGGUGAAAGUCCGGGGCUCAACCCCGGAUCUGCCGUGCCGACUGUUGGGCUGGAGUACUGUAGGGGCAGGCGGAAUUCCGGGUGUAGCGGUGGAAUGCGUAGAGAUCCGGAGGAAGACCGGUGGCGAAGGCGGCCUGCUGGGCAGUUACUGACACUGAGGCGCGACAGCGUGGGGAGCAAACAGGG
rnacentral:rRNA from 1 species